rnacentral:rRNA from 1 species
UACGUAGGGCGCGAGCGUUGUCCGGAAUUAUUGGGCGUAAAGAGCUCGUAGGCGGCCGGUUGCGUCUGCUGUGAAAUCCCGGGGCUUAACCCCGGGCGUGCAGUGGAUACGGGCCGGCUGAGGCAGGCAGGGGAGAAUGGAAUUCCCGGUGUAGCGGUGAAAUGCGCAGAUAUCGGGAGGAACACCGGUGGCGAAGGCGGUUCUCUGGGCCUGUACUGACGCUGAGGAGCGAAAGCGUGGGGAGCGAACAGG